rnacentral:misc_RNA from 1 species
UCGAGCGUCAUUUCAACCCUCAGGCCCUGCCUGGCGUUGGAGGACUGCGCACGCAGCCUCCCAAAGCGAGCGGCGGCGGCGCCCCGAAACCGAACGCAGUAGUUACUUCUCGUUCUGGGUCCGGGUCGUUGUCCUGCCGGAAAACCCCCCUCUAAUCAAUGGUUGACCUCGAAUCAGGUAGGAAUACCCGCUGAACUUAA